rnacentral:rRNA from 1 species
CAGCAGCCGCGGGAAUACGUAGGUGGCAAGCGUUGUCCGGAAUUAUUGGGCGUAAAGCGCGCGCAGGUGGUUUAAUAAGUCUGAUGUGAAAGCCCACGGCUCAACCGGGGAGGGUCAUUGGAAACUGGGAAACUUGAGUGCAGAAGAGGAGAGUGGAAUUCCACGUGUAGCGGUGAAAUGCGUAGAGAUGUGAUGGAACACCAGUGGCGAAGGCGACUCUCUGGUCUGUAACUGACGCUGAGGAGCGAAAGCGUGGGGAGCGAACAGGAUUAGAUACCCGCGUAGUCCCUGUCUCUUAUAC